UACAGAGGGGGCAAGCGUUAUUCGGAAUUAUUGGGCGUAAAGGGCGCGUAGGCGGCAUGGCAAGUGGAUGGUGAAAUCCCUCGGCUUAACCGAGGAACUGCCGUCCAAACUGCUUCGCUUGAGACCGGGAGAGGUGAGUGGAAUUCCCGAGUGUAGCGGUGAAAUGCGUAGAUAUUGGGAGGAACACCAGUGGCGAAGGCGGCUCACUGGACCGGUACUGACGCUGAUGCGCGAAAGCGUGGGGAGCAAACGGG
rnacentral:rRNA from 1 species